rnacentral:rRNA from 1 species
AUUGAACGCUGGCGGCAGGCCUAACACAUGCAAGUCGAGCGGAUGAAGGGAGCUUGCUCCUGGAUUCAGCGGCGGACGGGUGAGUAAUGCCUAGGAAUCUGCCUGGUAGUGGGGGAUAACGUCUGGAAACGGGCGCUAAUACCGCAUACGUCCUGAGGGAGAAAGUGGGGGAUCUUCGGACCUUACGCUAUCAGAUGAGCCUAGGUCGGAUUAGCUAGUUGGUGGGGUAAAGGCCUACCAAGGCGACGAUCCGUAACUGGACUGAGAGGAUGAUCAGUCACACUGGAACUGAGACACGGUCCAGACUCCUACGGGAGGCAGCAGUGGGGAAUAUUGGACAAUGGGCGAAAGCCUGGUCCAACCGUGCCGCGUGUGUGAAGAAGGUCUUCGGAUUGGAAAGCACUUUAAGUUGGGAGGAAGGGCAGUAAGUUAAUACCUUGCUGUUUUGACGUUACCAACAGAAUAAGCACCGGCUAACUUCGUG